ACUGCAGAGAGGGCUAGGCAGUAGGGUAAAUAAUGUGCUUCAGGUACUGUGAGACAGACUAGUUUUCAGACAGCAGUGUGUUCUCGCACUAUAACGAGGCGGGUUGACUCACACAGGAUAAAUAAAAUCUCGGAUGAUUUCAUGUUCCUGUGGGUUCUUCAGGGUCAGAGCGAAGAUCUCGGGGUCUCCAGCGAAGUUCCCCGCUUUGUUGCUAUAGUAAUCCCGGAGUGCCUGCAUAUCAACAUGUAAGCGGGUCGUUCUGUGUUGGAGUUGUUUCGGCAUUCCGAUGUUGAAGUCAAUGUCUGGAGAUGUAAACAAAUACAAAACUAAACC